GACGAACGCUGGCGGCGUGCCUAAUACAUGCAAGUCGAACGCAGUGGGGACGGGUGAGUAACACGUGGGUAACCUCCCAUCAGAGGGGAUACCCCUUGGAAACAGGUCCUAAACCCAUAUUGUUGGAUGGACCCGCGGUGCAGUAGCUAGUUGGUGAGGUAACGGCUCACCAAGGCCACGAGGCAUAGCCGACCUGAGAGGGUGAUCGGCCACACUGGGACUGAGACACGGCCCAGACUCCUACGGGAGGCAGCAGUAGGGAAUCUUCGGCAAUGGACGAAAGUCGGACCGAGCAACGCCGCGUGAGUGAAGAAGGUUUUCGGAUCGUAAAACUCUGUUGUUAGAGAAGCGGUAUCUAACCAGAAAGCCACGGCUAACUACGUGCCAGCAGCCGCGGUAAUAC
rnacentral:rRNA from 1 species